AUUGAACGCUGGCGGCAUGCCUAACACAUGCAAGUCGAGCGGAUGAAGGGAGCUUGCUCCUGGAUUCAGCGGCGGACGGGUGAGUAAUGCCUAGGAAUCUGCCUGGUAGUGGGGGAUAACGUCCGGAAACGGGCGCUAAUACCGCAUACGUCCUUAGGGAGAAAGUGGGGGAUCUUCGGACCUCACGCUAUCAGAUGAGCCUAGGUCGGAUUAGCUAGUUGGUGGGGUAAAGGCCUACCAAGGCGACGAUCCGUAACUGGUCUGAGAGGAUGAUCAGUCACACUGGAACUGAGACACGGUCCAGACUCCUACGGGAGGCAGCAGUGGGGAAUCUUGGACAAUGGGCGAAAGCCUGAUGCAGCAAUGCCGCGUGUGUGAAGAAGGUCUUCGGAUUGUAAAGCACUGUAAGUAGGGAGGAAGGGCAGUAAGAUAAUACCUUGCUGUUUUGACGGUACCAACAGAAUAAGCACCGGCUAACUUCGUG
rnacentral:rRNA from 1 species